rnacentral:rRNA from 1 species
UACGGGGGGGGCAAGCGUUGUUCGGAAUUACUGGGCGUAAAGGGCUCGUAGGCGGCCAACUAAGUCCGACGUGAAAUCCCAAGGCUUAACCUUGGAACUGCGUCGGAUACUGGAUGGCUUGAAUUCGGGAGAGGGAUGCAGAAUUCCAGGUGUAGCGGUGAAAUGCGUAGAUAUCUGGAGGAAUACCGGUGGCGAAGGCGGCAUCCUGGACUGGUCCUGACACUCAUGAGCGAAAGCGUGGGGAGCGAUCCGG